GGGAUUGAACCCCUGCCACGAGUUCCAGCUCCUGUGGAAAGGGUUGCCGCCGCCUCCUUGCUGGCUCUCCGCAUCCAGGGGGUCUUCUCCGUCAUCGAACUUCUUCCGCAUUUCUAGGAAAAAAAUCAGUAAAUGAAGACCCAGGCAUGUGGGAUGAUGGCCCCAGCCAGCCCCCUGUGGGGAGCUCCUGCUCCCUUAACUCUCAACUCAAGAGGCCCCUCCCCGAAGAUGACUCCUGAGUGAAGUCUGAUGGAGCUGUGUCAUCCCACUGCUGCACAGGCAGGAGGGGCAGAGUCCUCAAGGUGUUAGGUACUGGAUAUUUGCUGAAUAAGAGAACAGACAGUAUAUAUCCUACUGCGCUUAGUAAUUUCAUUUUUAGCUCCCUUACUAGAUUACUUAGAAAAAAAGAUCAUUUAGAGACAAAACUUGACUUCCUCUUUUUGCUGAAUCUGCCUAGCUCAAACCAGAGCUUCUGUUCCCACUGCUGUGGUAUCAGCUUAAUACUAAAUUCUGGAAAUGGCAAGGCAUUACUCAGUACCACCUCAGUUCUUAGCCCAUCUGCAUGUGACAAUCUGGGCCACAGUAACCAUGAAAAGAAUACAGGGAGCAGGCAUUUAGCUCAGCAGUUGAGAAGCCCACAUCCCAGCUACUGCUCCUGGCUCUGGCUUCCCACCAGUAACAGGGUUCUUACCACAUGGAGACCAGGCUUGUGCUGUAGCAUCAGCUCAGUUCUAACUAUUGGAGGCACUCAUAGAAUAAACCAACAACUGGGAGCUGACUUACAGACACACACUCUCAAACAAAACAAAUCUACCAGUAAAUCUAAUGAUCAUUUGAUUUAGGGGCAAGAUUGCUGGAGAACACAGUCAUGGCGCUACAGCGGGCCCUGGAUUAGCUAAGCUCUCUUCUCCCAUCCCUGGGCAAUCCAGGAAACAUGCUUUCCCCAUUAAGCUCCUGUGAGUUCAGUAGAGGGAAUCCUCACUGCCUUGUGAACUUAGAAGAAAAUUAAAGAUAAUGUCUUAUGUUCAACGUUAUGCUGUCAUAUCACAAGUGAAAAAACUGGAGGCCUGAAAGUUGUCAGAAUCAAAAUGGAGCUGCCUGUAUCCACUCUAACACAAAAACAAGGGCUCUUACAGGCAAUUGCUUGAUGGUAACUAUCACAUAGAGUGUGCAGAACCAAAUUAUAAGAAAAGUACUUCUACAAGGACAUCUGCCCACCAGACGUCUGUUCUAUCUUGGCCUAAUACCGUGUUGCUUAUUAAUCAUGCAGGCCAAUCCUCCUCACUACUGCGUUUAUCUUUCCUUUGGAGCAGCCACUGUGGCACUGUGGGUUAAUCUGCUGCUUGGGACACCCACAUAUCAGAGUGCAUGGCAUCAAGUCCCAGCUCCACCUCAGCUUCCUGAUAAUGCACCUGGGAGCCAGCAGAUGAUGGCUCAAGUACCUGGGUACCUGCCACCGUGUGGGAGAACCUUGCUCCUGGCUUUGUCCUGGCCCAGCCCAGCCAUUGGGAGCAUUUAGGGAGUGAAACAGUCGCACAGGAUCUCCAUGCUCCCACCUCACCACCACCACCACCGCUCUGCCUCUUAAAUACAUAAAGAAAACUUUUAAAAAAAGGUCUUUCACUUGCCUCAACCUCUGAAUAUGCAUAUUAUCAUAACUGCAGAGCUCUGGAAUUCCAAUAUAAAUACCAUUAUCUUUAGCAAGUGUCUGUGUGUCUCUCUAAUUAUUAUUGUUUUGUUACUUAGCUUAACAAACCCAGGGCUUCUCAUUCCACACUGACAGUCUUUCCACUGUACUAUACACGUACAGUCCCCAGAAUUGGAGACAGGGACAAACUUAAAACCAGCAAGGCCAAGGACCAGUGAUCCACCCUCCACUUCUAAUGCCGCUUCCAAGAAGGGUCCAAGAAGGGCAAGGAUUAGUGAUACCACCGAUUCCACUAUUUGAGAGAAAUGAAAGGCCUAAAAGCAAUACCUGGAUCUGAGAGGACUUCUUUAGCAGCUGCUAUAUCAAUGAACUUUUUCUCUGCUUUUUUCUUUUCUUCUUCAUUCUGGAAGUUAUCUGGGUGCCACUGUAGGGCUAAUUUUCUGUAUGCUUUAAUGAUUUCUUGUUUUUUGGCAUUUCUGUGGGAUGGUAAAAUUAAUUGACAAUCAUUUAAAAAGUAUCCAACACACUGUCUUAAAAUUAGAAGAGCCAGGUUAAGAUGGCACUGGGAAUUUACAGCCGAGUUUCCCUUGUAGUUCCAAUGGCAUCAAAGGGCAAAGGUUCACACACAGUAAUGAAGAACAGAAUCUCACCAGGAAGCAAGUUAACUGCUACUGAUUUUUACAAUGUCCUCUUAAAAAGUUUUUUUCCAUUUUUCUUUCAGAAUUUCCAAACUACCAUGAUUCAGUUCUUUCUUGGCAUUAAAACAUACGACAAGUUGAUAGUUCAACGGUCAGGGAAGGUAUGUCUUAUAUAAAAGCACAUACUCGACAGAUUAGAUACCUCAGUGUCUGCAAGUUACUUCUAGAAGUGCUACUUUAUUGUUAGGCCUAGAGAAGGGUUUCCUUUUCUCCAGCCCCUCCCUCCCUCCUUCCUAUCCCCACCAGAACAAAAUUCUCUCCCAUUUCUUUACCCUUCUUAAAAAACAUAAGCCUGGGACCUAUUCAUGAUAGUCUUCCUCACCAAAUAAUUUUCUGGCAUUGCAUUACUAGUCUCUGUCAAAGACAUUUGCCUGUAAUGUAUUCAAAAUAGCUUUAUGAUGUUAAAGAUUGUUAGUAACAAUUAUAGAAGUACAGGAAAUCAAUCAAGGAGAGAAAAAAAUCAACGAUUAGUUUUACAACAGUUAAGUAAAAAUAGCAAUGCAAAUUUGAAAUUCACCUUUUUACUCCCAAGAUUUUAUAAUAAUCUCGUUUCUGCGACUGUUUCAAUAGUCUUUGUGCUUUCUCUAAACCUUCCCGAAUCUGUUGAUCAUUUUCAUUGUGUUCCUGAGCUGUUUCAUAAUCCUGAAUAGCUGUCAAAAUAGGUUUAAGAUAAUGCUGUUAGGGGGACUAGUCAUUCGUUUCCUUUACGUAUCUUGCAAGUUAAUACCAAAAUCAUCAUCCCAACCCCUUCAGUCCUUCACCAUCACUGUUAAAAGCCUAAAUGAUAACACUUUGCAAUUUUGUUCAAAAACUUUAAAAAGGCAUAAUCAAGACUGAAUGUAGGUAGUAUAUUAUUCCCAUUCAACAAAAUUCACUGUUUACUUGCCCACCUCCCACAUUAUCUGCCCAUAUCUUCAAGUCAUUUUAAUAUCAGCACUUUAUAUAGAACAGUCUUACUGUACAACAGUGCCUAACUAAAUCAGCAUGGUCAGCUAAGGAUCAACAAUUCAAAGUGGAGGUUAGAAAGGGAGCAAUCACUGUCAGUAGUCAUAAUGACAAAGUUAACCACGGGGUUCAACACCAACAAUCAUAUGCUUUUCUUUUAAGUGUCAACCAAAACAGAAAAACACAUACCCUACUGGCAUCGGAAGUCUGAUGACAAUCCACAUGACAUGUUUCAGAGUAUUUUAAAUAUUUAGAAAGGACAAAGCAUCUGGGUAUCUAAUAUCAGGUAGAAGAGUCAUCAGGUCACAGCAGGCCUUCUCAGACUUAUCCUUAGACUGGUCUACUGGCCAGGAUGGCACCUGACUGAUAUCAGGGAGGUUGGACUUCAGCAAUGUUCCCACAUUCUCUUACUCUGCUGGGAGGCAUAAACGUCUGUGUGCUCGAACAAGCUUCACUACACUGUACACGUGUUAUGAGAUUUCCCCUUGUUUAAGGAACUCAGCUUGUCUUAUAUGACCUCAUAGGGAGAAGAUUCUUGGAAUAUUUUGGCUAGUUUCCUCUGUAGAAGUGAAAAUUAAAAAAGGAGCACAAGGAAGGAGAAAUGGGGUGAAAAAGACAACAAAAAGAGAUGGAAAUAAAAGUUUAAAGGACUAGAGAAAAAGAAAUCACAGUUAAAGAUGACAGGAAAGGAAAUACAUUCCAUGUGUAACUUGGGUGUAGAAAACCAAACCAACUGAAGAGGACAACUAAAAUGAAAGAUGAAUCUAUAGAGAGAAGGCAUACAAGGUGCCAGGGCAAUUCAGCUUAGAAUGGUGAACACUAAAACAUAUCCUAGCACAAUUAACAGACUUGAAAUAAAAAAGCUGCCUGUGUGGCAAGACCAAAACAAAAAAAUCCUGGUGCCAGAUUGUCCAUUGCGGGGCCAACACUUUGGCACAGCAGGUUAAGCCAUGGCUUGAAAUGCUGGUAUCCUAUAUUGGAGUGCUGGUUUGAGUCCUGGCUGCUCCACUUCCAAUCCAGCUCCCUGCAAAUGCACCUGGGAAAGCAGAAGAUGGUCCAAGUACCUGGGCCCCUGAAACCCAGGUGGGAAACCCAGAUAGAGUUCUAGACUCGUGCCUUGUUCUGCCCCGCCCCUUGGCCAUUGCAGCCAUUUGGGAAGUAACCCAGCAGACGGUAGAUCUCUUUCUCCGUCUUUCCCUCUGUGUCAUUCUGCCAUUCAGAUAAAUAAAUCUUAAAAAGGAGAUUUUUCUUGGCAAUAUUCAGUACCUGAAGAAUUGUAACAAUGCCUACAGGAUGUACAAAAGUAGGAAUAAAACAAUUUGUUAUCCUGACAUGCCAUCCGUCAAGUUGAAAAGGUACAGUCUUGAAUACAGAAUAAAUCAGGGAAAACUUUCUCAAGGAAAACUCCACAGUUUUCCUCAAGAAACUGCCACAGCAUGAACUCACCAAGAGAUGGCUGGAGAAACAAUCACCAAAGGAGGGAUGGCACACACUGCAUCUGUUCCAUUUGGCAUGGUUUGGCUGUGGUUUGAGUGUGUCCCCCAAAGGCUCAUGUGCUGAAGACUUGGUCCUCUGUGUAGUAAUGUGAGAGGAACUAAACUUGUAAAAAGUGGGAGGUCACAGGGGGCACUGCCCACAGAAGAAAUUUUUUGUGAGACCCUGACUAGUUCUUGAGAGUUGUUUUUAAAAGCACUCUUUGGCUUCUUGUAUCACCAUGUGAUCUUUCUUCUCGCACACACUCCUGCCAUUAUGCCAUCUGCCAUAGCCUGAUGCAGGAAGGAGUGCCCUUGUCAGAAUGGGCACCAUAUUGUUUAGACUUUGAGCCUCCCAAACUGUGAGCUAAGUAAACCUCUUUUCUUUAAAAAGUACCCAGCCUCAAGUUUUUUGUUAUAGCAAUGGAAAGCAGACUAAGACUAUGUAGAAUUGAGACUGGCACUAAGCAGUGAACUGUAGUCACAGAAUAAAAUUUGUGCCGUGACAGUACAGAAGGGAUACCACUAACAAAAAAUGAGAAAGGAGAUAAAAGAUGAGAAAGUCCAUUAAUUCCCACCUAUUACAGCUGAAGCAAUCAGAAAACUGCUAAGUAGUAUGACCAAGGCAAAUCCUAGAUAAAUUCAAGUAUUAAAUGGCAGAAAAACAGUAAGGAAAAGAAAGGUGGAAGCACACUGAAUUAUUUCUCAAGGUAGGAAGCUAGUGGUAUUGUACAAAGAGGGCUAAGUAAAUAAAACUAAAAAAUAUCCAGGAGCAAAAAUAAAAACUUUCCAGGACAGUACAUAAAAUAAUAUAAACCAAACAUCAAAAAAAUCUAAUCAGAAAAGAAUGACAGAACACAGAUCAAACAUCUGUCAUAUCAACACAUGUAAAUGUGCUUAAUUCCCUAAAAAGAAUUUCAUAUUGGAUGAAAAAGCAAAACCCAGCUCUGAAAAAGACACACUUGAAACAAAGAGAUUCAAGUAUGGCCAAAUUUUAUGAGACACAAAGUUUGGUUUACAGUCUUAGCAGAUAAUUGGAGUGGAGGUCAAAAAUAAACAGGACAUCAUAACAUUAAAGGCUACAAAUGACAUUGAAGAAAAUGAUUCUGACAACAGACAUAAAAAAAAAAUUAGAAAAGAUACUAGGAGAGACUUCCAUCUCUCUCUUCUUAAUUGAUCAAGUUGAACCAAGAAAUAUCUAGAAAACAAAGACCAUAAUAUAAGAUAGAGCUGGCUGACAUGCCAAAUUGUAGCAAAGAGAACCCAGAAUUAAGAAAGUACACCUACUUUUCAAAUCCGUACAUAAGACUUAUGAAGUUAACCGUAUUAGAUAAAAAAGUGACAAAUUCCCCCCCAAAAAUGGAAUUAGUAAAAACAUUCUCUGAUCACAAAGUUACAUUAGAAAUAAUAAAUCAGAAAAGGAAGAAUGUAGAACCCUCCAAAUAUAUGUAAUAAUAAUAAUGAUGAAAACACAACCUUUCAGCAUCUAUAGGAGACACAGCAAAACAAUGUUGAGAGGACAAUUUGGCCUUAAGUGGUCCAGUACAAAUUAGGAUAAAAAGGAAAUAAUCAUCAUCUGAGUCAAAGUUAAAAAUCAAAGCUUAAUUGUAGGGAAAAAUUAAAAUAGAACUGGUAAGUCAGAGUUGUUAAAAAAUUUUAAAUACUUGUAACCUAGACAAGCUCAAAAGCACAAAAUAAGACAUAAGUGCUGACCAUAAAGAUGAAGAAAUUAAAAGAAGACUGCUUGGGGCUGGCACCAUGGUGCAGUAGGUUAAUCCUUUGCCUGCAGUGCCGGCGGCACCGGCAUCCCUUAGGGGCGCUAGCUUAGUCCCGGAUGCUCCUCUUCCGAUCAAGCUCUCUGCUGUGGCCUGGGAAAGCAGUAGAAGGUGGCCCAAGUGCUUUGGCCCCUGUACCCGCAUGGGAGACCGGGAAGAAGCACCUGACUCCUGGCUUCAGAUUGGCACAGCUCCGGCCAUUUGGGCAGUGAAGCAACAGAAGGAAGACCUCUCUCUCUCUCUCUUUCUCCCUCUCACUGUCUGUAACUCUACCUCUCAAAUAAAUAAAUAAAAUCUUUGGGGAAAAAAAAAAGGACUGCUUUACUAGUAUUCCUUAACAAAAGCAUUUGAAAAUUCAAGAGAAUAACUCAAACUGAGCCAAAAAGAGACAAAAAAUAAACAGAAUAUUUUCAUGGAGUAAGGAUGUCAAAAAGCCACCUGCCAAUCAAGCAGCAGGAGUUACAUGAAGAUGGUUUAAACUUUUAAAUAGCAAGUGCUUCCAAUACUCUGUCUCCAGAGCACUGACUACAGAAAACUGCUAAAUAACUGCAUCAAAUCCUGACUGACUCUAGUUUAUUAACUAGCUAUACAUAGUACUCUAGGAGUAAAAAUCAUUUUUCCUCAAUUUCUGAGAAGAACUGCAAAGCUAUCUUUGGAAUCAGCAUGAUUGAUACUACUUUUUGAGACUGCACUUUUGGCAAAAUGAAAAAAAUUCUAGGGGCCAGUGCUGUGGCUUAGUGGGUAAAGCUGCCAUCUGCAGUGCUGGCAUCCCAUAUGGGCACCGGUUUGAGUCCUGGCUGCUCCACUUCUGAUCCAGCUCUCUGCUAAGGCCUGGGAAAGCAGUAGAAGAUGGCCCAAGUCCUUUGGGCCCCUGCACUCGUGUGGGAGACCCAGAAGAAGCCCCUGACUUUGGAUCAGCACAGCUCUGACCGGUGUGGCCAUCUGAGGAGUGAACCAGUGGACAGAAGACCCCCUACCCUCCUCUGCCUCUGCCUCUCUGUAACUCAGCCUUUCAAAUAAAUAAAUAAAUCUUAAAAAAAAAGAAAAAAGAAUCUGCAAACAAUGAAGACAUGAUGGAGGAGGAGGAAGGAGAUGGGGAGGCCAAGGGAGAGAAGAAGAAAAAAAUGCAGAAAGGCAAUGAAAGACGGCAGAAGGAUAUCUUCACAAAGAAAGUGGAUUUCAUUUACAUAAAUAGUUUACCAGUAACAAUCUCAGAUGUCUUCAGUAAGACAGAAGGAUAGAUUUCUUCUGGCAAAAAGAAACGGCAACUCUAGUGUAGAAUCAGGUUGCUUACCAACACGUUCCUACUAUAAAAGAGAAACAUGCUAAACACACAGUGUGGAUUCAGACAAACAACUUGACCCUGUGGCUCCACAUUCAUGAUAUAUUACUCUACUAAAUGGCUUCCACAACCUAACUAUCCACAACUGUAGAGGACAGAAUUUAAAUAUCAUAAACUCUGUAAAUGUAAAAAUAUACUAACUCAUGUUUAGGGAAAGGAAGAUGGAAAUUUACCAGUUUGCUUAUUAUGAGUAGUAUAAAAUCCGUAGAUACUGUGUAAAAGAUGAUGGAGCGAGAAACAGAUUUAGGCAUACUAUUAAUUUAUAUAACAUUAAAACUAAAUAUAACUAGGAAUAUUUUACUGUACCCAAACCAGAGUUUGUGGAAAGAACAGAACUAGAAAAGCCUACUUAAUGUUUCCUUUUCCUAAAGUGUCAAGUAAGGAAUGUCAGGAGUCUUCAAAAAUUUCAUGGAAAAUGUGAAUUAUGAAAAAAUUAUGCAAAGGUUUCAAAAAAUAUUUGCACCAUAAUUAACUUAUUCCCUUUCUCCAUGAACUUUUUCAAGUACAUUCAUAUUGCCUAGACUAUAAAUCAAGAACUAGAGGAAGAUUUGUUUUCAUCAGAAUUGUAAUAAACAUCAGAAGAACUAUUAUUAAAGUAUCUAACAGUGGAAAAUAAAAUAUCAGAGGCGCUUUUGUUCCUUACCUUACUCUAAUUUUUAAAUUUCACCACGUGCAUGUAUUACAUUUACAGCUUGAGUAAAAUUAAAUAAAAUUUAUAGAGAGGGGAGAACAAACUAAUAACACAUGCAUAAUGGAAUGCCAUGUAAGUAGUAACCUCAUAGAUGAUGAUCCUAUUUACAAAUAAUCAUCUUUCUAAGAUUUACACACUUUCUAAGAAUACACAUACAUGUUAAAAUAAAGUACUGCUAUAACCUUGUCACCACACAAUCUAAUCUUUUUAUACUGAAAACAUAGACCCGCACACCCUCCCAUGGGCUCUGGGUGAGACCUUGGGCUCACUGCUUCACGUCUGUAAGCCAAAGCUUUCUCAUCUGCAGAGUGGUAACACAACCCACGUGACAGGGCCACAGUGGAGCUGGUCACACAAUAUCAUGAAUGUGUUUAAUGCUACUGAACUGAACACCUAAAAAAUGAUUAGCGUGGUGAAAUUUGUGUUACAUAUAAAUUGGGGGAAAAAGAAAUAAAGGAGUGAAUGUGCAAAAAGCCUGUUGUGUAAAUAAAUGAUUAACAAACAGUCCUUGUAGUUAAAGAAGUUUUUCCUCCUUGCAACCAAUCAUCAAGCUUCUACAUCACAAACGAUUGGUACGUACAUUAAGAAACAACAGAGCUCUCUAGACACUACCUUUUAGGAGGGUUCUGUUGGAAGUGUAAUACCCAAGAAAAAGGGAGAGAGAAAGCAAGCACAAUUUGAUCAAACUUAUUCGCAACACAUGGGGACACACAGAGAAAGCAGGAGGUAAGGUAGAAAGCCUUCUUGUAUCAAGCCUGCCUGAAAUAGUCCAAGAUUAGAAACACAUCCUAGAAGUCACCAAGCAAGUGAGCAUGCACAAAUACCUUCAAAGCCAUAACCACAGCACUUGGUGCCCAUCAGUUAUUUCAAAACAGCCUAGACUGAAAAAGAGCCUGGUGGUCCUGCCACAAGGGAUGGAAUGAUGGUCCUAAAGCACCAAAAAAGCCCAAACUAAGGAGAAGCUGCCCCAAGGUGCCUUCAAAAAAGACCUACGUAACCAGCAAGGCCUGGCUCCCAUCCAAGUGUCCUGAGAUGCUGGCAGCACCCAGAGAGCAGUCUGGGAGCUCCACAGCAAGCAGAAGACCAGGGCUGAACUCAAGCUGUCCCUGCAGCGCUGACUGAUCAGAAUAAGCUCCAAGUGCUUUGCAGACAGCCACGGUGAUGGGUCUCUCCCGGCCAGCUCUUCAGAAGCUAAACCUCCGUGGCUACUUCUAUUCCAUGAGACCCAGACAUUCCCAUCCUGAAGAGGCCUGGAAGGAACCUGGUCUCUCCCUUCCCAGCUCUCAGUGGGCCAUGUUCUCUCUUCCCUGAGAUCUACCAGGCAACUUUCAGAUGGAAGGCAUCUUCUACAUCUAGUGGCCUCAUGAGUGAAGGUUCUUAGCCUGGGAAAGGAGUAAAAGAGCAACUAUUACCCAAAAGAAGAGCUGCUGUGUGGAAUUAAGACUGAAGCAUACAUAAUGAGCAAAAUUACAGCAUAUUAGCAUUUAACUUGAGUAUAUUCCCUGAAGGUUUCAGUAUUUGCACAUUAAAUAAAUUACAUUAAUUAUCAUUCACCACAGAAAAACCUGACAAUACAGACAGACGCUACUCCCUGCUGAUGAGGAGAUUGUCUUGUAAAGGCCAGUUCAUUAGCCAGUGAGGACAUGAGCCUGUCAAACAUGGCCUUACACAUCUUUGAGCCUAACGUCUUACUAACAAAAUGCUAUUCUUUACUAACACUGUUACUUAACAGCUCUAAAAGACACACCAAAAGAGCCCACAUCUGCAGUAUGAACACUUGGAAACUAAUGUUUUGCAUUUAUCCAAAGAGCUACAACAGAUAUAUAGAACGCUUCCAGAAUCCACAGUACUCCUCAUUUCUGGGCAAUACAUGAGCCAUCCACGUUAGUCUGCACAUGAUGUGAACAUGUGCAACAGGGGAGGCUGCAGAGAACAGGGCACAGGGGAGCCCCGGAUUCUCAUCACAGAGCCUCAGAGGCUCCCACUCCGCAGGCACUAAGCCCACUUUCUCCUACCCCUGCUCCAGGCCCAACGCAGAGGUCCAUGAUCUUUGAAAAAGAAAUCCAACCAUUUUUAUUUUCAGGCUUACAGACUCAUCAGAUCUGAGUUUCUUACAUUAAUUACAUCUAAAUAUCUGGCAUCAGAUUAUAGUAAGGCAGACAUCUUAAUGUCUUCAUUAAUUCAUUAAUUCAUUAAGGCAGACAUCAUAAUGUCUUUACCUCUUAAGGUGUCUUCAAAAUGCAUAUUAUAAAAAACUACACAUGAUUUCAAAAAAUUUUGCUCUAAAGUUAAUGUAUCUUUUAAUUCCAUUUUCCAUGAACUUCCUGAAAUAUCCCUGUAUUUCUCAGCAGUUCUUACUUGGAUCUUUGUUACUGUCUUGGCAAGGUACAGAGAGGUCUUAGCCAAAUUAUGUAACUUAGAGACUUGACAAAAAGCUACAGUUCUCUUUUAAAUACUUCUUUAGAAAUGGAUGCUAAAAACCUCUGGGCACAAAAGACUCAACUAAAGGCUGCAUUUCUGCUCUGGGCCCCAAUGUUACAUCAUGUGUCUGACAGCACUUGAAGUGGACACAAGUGAAGGGUAAGAGUUUCCUACACAGCAUAACCAAGGGUGCUCCCUCAGGAAGCAACUAUGAAACUCUGACCCAAUUAUUUAAGGAUACCUUUAAAAAAAAAAAAAAAAGGAUACCUUUGAAAAGACUGGAAACGUUUUAUUGAACAAUAUGUAUAUACUGGGGCCAGUGCUGUGGCAUAGCGGGUAAAGCCGCCACCUACAGUGCCAGCAUCCCAUAUGGGUACUGGUUUGAGUCCUGGCUGCUCCACUUCCAAUCCAGCUCUCUGCUAUGGCCUGGGAAGGCAGUGGAGGACAGCCAAAGUCCUUGGGCCCCUGCACCAUGUGGGAGACCCGGAAGAAGCUCCUGGCUCUGGAUUGGCGCAGCUCCAGCCAUUGCGGUCAUCUGGGGAGUGUACCAGCAAAUGGUACACUCUCUGCCUCUCCAUCUCUCUCUGUGUUAACUCCUUCAAGUAAAUAAAUAAAUCUUUAAAAAAAAAUAUGUACAUACUAUAGUGGAGUCAACCGGGCAGGAGGGGAUUUCCUAUUUGCUUUUACGGCAGCCCAACAAACAAACAAAAAUUUUCUCUGCCACCUGAGGGGAGGUGGGCAGGGUUUUAUAACUUAGACUUCAGCCAAGUUAUGAGCAUGUAAUAAUGAAGAUAAUAAUUCUAAAACUAAUCAGGCAAUACUCUUUAGAAAGUUUUCAGUUUCUACAUCAUUGUAAUGAUUAGGUUAUGUGGUCAAAUUACUUAAUAUUAAAAAAAAUAACUGGAAAAUGCCACCCCUUCUCAAGACAGAAGACAAUUAACAAACCCCAACCCUGAGAUGGUCAGGAUCUGGGAUUCACAGGCUUGACUUCCAAGACAGUUUGUAUAGCCAGGAUGAAUGAUGACAAAAUGCAAUAUAUGCUUGCAGUGAGUGAAGAUACAGUAACUCAGCAGAGAAUGGGCAGUGAUUAAAAGAUGAGACCAAUUCUAAAGCCAAAAUUUUCAUAUCAUUAAUAAAAAUCCACUGAUGGACUUAACAGCAGAACAGAAUUGACAGGGAAGAGUGAAUAUAAAGAGAGGUCAAAAUUAUCAAUCCAAAGAAAAUCAGUGCAACUAAAAAAAAAGAUUUCAAAAAUUAACAUAGCCUCAAGGACAUGUGAGACAACAUUAGUGUCUAAUAUUGUAAGUCUGAAAAGAGAAUAAUGAAGUAGAAAAAAAUGUAUAUAUAAAGAAUAGCUCAAGUUUCUCCAAAUGUAAAUACAAAGUUAAAGUCUUAAAUAAUUCAGUAGACAUCAAGUAGAAUUAAUGCAAGAAAAGACACCUCACAGAAGAGCAUUAUUUUGAUUUUCAGUUGUUUGCAAAAAAGAAAAUCCUAAAACCUGCCCUCCCCAAAAAAAACAUGACAGAUUAUAAAUGGGGGAAUGGCAACUUGAAGAACUGAUUUUGCAUUGGAAAUAAUGAACAAAAGAGGUAAGUGAAAACAUUUUUUAAUAAUGAAAAAACAUUAAUUCAAAAUUCUGCAGCCCCAUGUAGAUGCUGUAGUGCCCAUAUGGGAUGCCAGACCUGCAGCUUAACCCACUGUGCCACAGGGCCAGCUCCUUUCCAAGACUUUUUGAAGAUCCCUUAUAAACGGAUUUCAGAACAUUUUGCAUCAACAAAUUUUUUUAUUCCAUUGUCCACAAACUUCUUGACAUACCCUUGUAUACUGUAAUCCCUACAGCAACCACUAAAAACCUACAACUGUAGUAUCCUCCCUCAUCAUUUUCCCUUAGUAUUUUUUAACUUCCAAAACUUUAAGCUUUUCAUAAUUUGGAAAUCACCCUUUUUAAAAAAUGUAUUUAUUUAUUUGAGAGGCAGAGACAGAGAGAAAGUUCGUCCAUCCACGGGUUCACUCCCCAAAUGGCUGCAAUGGCCAGACCUGGGCUGGUCUGAAGCCAAGAGCCAGGAGCUUCUUCCUGGUCUCUCAUGUGGGUACAGAGGCCCAAGCGCUGAGGCCAUCUUCCACUGCUUUCCCUAGCCAUCAGCAGGGAGCUGGAUCAGAAGUGGAACAGCCAUCCAUAUAGGAUGCCAGUACCACACGCAGAGGCCUAACCUACUACGCCACAGCACCAGCCCCAAAAAUCAGUCCUAGAAAUACCUUUUUUCUGCUGAAUGGUACUCAUGUACUAUUGGGACUGUUUCCUAUUUCCUCACCUCCAAAUCAAACUAAUAGGUUCUCGGGUCUGGCUCUGUUGGCAGUAUAAUGUUUCCUAACUGAUACACUAAAUCUAAAAGGGCUAAAUCUCAGCUAAUUGGUAACUGUAAUUCCCAGCUAGCAGGUACGUAGUCUUCCUUGUAACCAUGGACUUUUCAAAAGAAACAAGGAGCUUGUGGCUAGGAGGCUUGUGUAGGAAUAAAAGCUGAUAGCAUGACUUUGUAGUCCAUAACACGAACAGCCAAUGUGGUUCAUCAAACCACAGGCUGCAUCUAGCCAUUUUUUCCAUUCCAGUCACCUGCUUCCCGCUCCUUAGAUGAUGCUAAAGUAGGUGUACCUAUUUGGAGAUUUGGAAGUUUCAGAAACAUCUGCUUUAUAGAUUGCUGUUACAGUGUCCAUGGUAAUUAUGAUUGCUUUAUAAAAAUGUCAAUAUGUAAGCAGCCUCCAACUUAUAAGGCCACAUUUAGGUAUAAUUCCAUAUUUAUUAGUAUUUUCUAAUAAAGACCAAUCUCUUCUUCUUCCCCUAAACAGGAGACAGGAGUCUCUGGGCCAACAACCUUAAAGGAAAACAGAAACAGCCAUGAGAAAUCUGACCUGCUCAGAAGGAGUGUCUCCUUCAUGGCGAGGUUUAAGCCCUAUGAUUCCAGGACCUUAUGCCAAGGCUGCCAAACAUGUUUCUGGCAGCACAAGCACUUCCCUGAAAUUCCACUACUAUAAGAAUCCUUUGGAUUAAAAAAUGCUUAUCUUCACAAGGACUACAAACCUAGUCAUGUUUUAUACAAGGAUCUUAAAUCUGACCACUCUGGUUGUGUUGAAGAGCAUUAAGACUGCUGAUGCAAGGAGGUGGUUUGCAUUUUGAACAAUUAAUACUUUUGCAGAGUAGGACAAGCUGGUGUUUGGAGUAGAGUUCCAAGGAUAAGCAGGAGGGCACAAAAAUCCAUAUACAGUACAUCAUCAAAGAAUGUCAAAGUUAAACUUAACCUCCUUCACAGUUUUCAUCCAAGAAAGGGGCUACUUGCCUCCUGUUCUCAGAAUUCUGAAUACUACCAAUAACCUAAAAUAACAGCUGUGUCUAAUAGAGUUAAUGCAGCGGUCACAAGUUAGACCAGGAAGCUAGCUACCCCAAACAAUGCUGUGUGUGUAGAAAAGUCAGUGCGCGUUCAACCAUCCAUCCAGAUAGUAAGUACAGUGGGAACCAUUCACUUAGAAGUUUUCUAGAAGCACUACACUAAGCAAUUUCUAAGCAUCAUCUUAUUCAACCACAACAAUUCUGUGAGAUAUAUAUGAAUAUUUCUGUUUUACAGAUAAGGAAAGUAAAACACAAUAGGCUAGGUAACUUUGAAACUAUGUAGAAAAAUCAACAGCACAUUCCUAAGAAAGUUUACACAUCAUUAACUAACAUAUGAAAAGAUGCUCAACAUCACUAAGGAAAUAAAACCCAAAGCCAUAAUGAAGUAUCACUUCACCCAUUACAAUGGGUACUAUAAAAAAAAAAAAAAGUAUUGAUGAGGAUGUAGAAAAAUCAGAACCCUUGUACACUGUUAGUAGGAUGGUAAAAUGGUGCAACUACUAUGGAAAAUAGCACAGAGGCUCCUCAAGGUUAAAACAGAACUACCAUACGAUUCAACAAUCCUACUUCUUGGGAGAUAUUCAAAAGAAGUGAAAGUAGGGUCUCAGAGAGAUAUCUGUGUGACCUUGUGCAUAGCAGCAGUACCCUCAACAGCUAAGAGGUGGAAACAACCCGAUGUCUAUUGACAGAAGAGUGGGUAAACAAAAGUUGGUUUAUCCAUAUUAAUUCAGCCUUAAAAGGAAGAAUAUUCUGACACCUGCUACAACAUGGAUCAACCUUGAAAACACUAUGCUGUUGAAAUGGGCAGUCACAAAUGGACAAAUACUGUGUCAUUUCAAUGAUACAGUAUCAGAAAAAGACAAAUAUAUUAUUCCAACUUUAAGAAGAACUUAAAGCACUUCAAAUUCAGAGGCAGAAUCCUCUGAUGUUUCCUGAUAAUUCUAUCGCAAGUCCAAAAUAUAUUUCCAUGUUCCACUAUUUAUUAAUCUAAAACUAAUGAUUCUUUAUUCAUUAUAUCCCCAUCAUGAUUUUAAACUUUUAAUUUAAAAUAAAAAGGUAGGAGUGGGUGUUUAACUUACUGGUUAAGAUGCCCACAUCCUACAUUAGAGUACCUAAAUGCAAUUCCUGGCUCCAGUGUUCCACCAAUGCAGACACUGAGUAGCUCAAAAAUGGAAAAGAACAGGUAUGAUAAAGUGACCUUCUAUGUGGAUCCCAUACCUUAUUGAAACACUGUUAAACUUCAUAUAAUAUUAAAUACUGUUGUUCUGACUGCACACAUUCGCUUCGGGCCUCACUCAGUCCUCAGAGCCUGAAUGUCCCACAAAACAUUCACCAGAAUGGUCAUCACUCCCUAGAAAAUCCUUAGCAGUAAGAUUCUUUUCAAAUUGGAAAAAGCAAGGAAAAAAAGCAGCUGACCAAUUUGCCUUGAAAAGAAUACCACUAAUCAAGUUUCACCAUUCAAAUCCUUCAUUUAACUAUAACAGAAAACAGCUCUUACUGAUUUCAAUUUAAAAUGCUUUGCAUGACUUGAAGCAAGAAGGUUCAUUUAUUUUAUAAAAGGAAUAUAAAGGAAACAUUUAUAAUAUCUUAUCACAUGAAAAAACUUAAAAACACACGUAUGAAAGGAUUCUAUUUUUUAAUGUAUAUUUUUGUACAUGCCUUAACUGUCAUCCAAACUUACUCAAGGACCUGAAACAAGAUGCUAACAGGAAUCUUUCCGGCUGCUUAAAUUUGAACAAAGGAGUGUAAGCAACUAUCAUAACUUUACUAAACAGCUUGGGGGUCAGACAGAAUCAUUUUAUAUUAGACAUAUGCAACCUAUAUAUGUAUGCUUCAUGUAUAUGCAUUAUACACUGUAUAAUAAAAUAUACAUAAAUUAUAGCAUAACAUAAGUAUGGAUAAACAAAAGUUUGGAAACAUACAAAUCCAAAAUGAAGACUACCUGCAGAAAAUAUGAAAUUUAGAAUUUACAUCCUCCCUGUAGUAACUUGUCUUUCCAAACUUAUCUGUAUCAAAGAAAAUUAAAUAUUUUUCUUCGAUAGUUGACUGAACUAGUAUCAACAGCAUCAGUAUUUCCCCACACAGUUUACCUUUCAAGUUCUACUAAAGAUGAAUAAUUUUCAAGUUCUCUGCCAUUUUUCUAAAACUGACAACAUUUCUAGAUAUUCUGGUAAACUUAAUCUAAAUAAAAGGAAAUAUACAAAUUUCAUAUAAUCAGCUUUUAAAUGUUGCAAUCAAAUUAGAGAUUUACCUUCAUCAUACAUUUCUUCUAUUAAAUAGGCUUCUGCUCGAUCUUUCAGAGCAUUCACAUUGUCGGGUUCCACCUGUAAAACUUCAGAACACACUCUAAUUGCCUCAACAGGCUU